UACGUAGGCAGCAAGCGUUGUUCGGAGUUACUGGGCGUAAAGGGUGCGUAGGCGGCCUUAUAAGUAUGGUGUGAAAUCUCCCGGCUUAACUGGGAGGGUGCGCUAUAGACUGUGGGGCUAGAGUGUGGGAGAGGAAAGUGGAAUUCCUGGUGUAGCGGUGAAAUGCGCAGAUAUCAGGAAGAACACCCGUGGCUAAGGCGGCUCUCUAGUACGGUACUGACGUUGAGACGCGAAAGCGUGGGGAGCGAACAGG
rnacentral:rRNA from 1 species